AAUAUUACGUUCACAAACUAGAGUGUCUUAAAGAGAAUAGUGUAUCUGUCCCGUUUCGCUAAAAAAACAGUUCUGGAUAAAACACAUGUGGAGUUUGUAUUGCUGGAAAUUCAGUGUUGUCAUGAUGCUGAAGAGUGUGGUCGUCUCGGUGGUGCUUCCUCAAAGAGGGUGCUUCUGUCCCCUGCAGUCAUCUGGCGGGUUGGGACGAAGCUAGGGCGCGUUGUGUUGGGCGAGGCCCGGUUGGAUCCAGGCAUCAGAGGAGGAAGGCGACAAGGAUGAAGAGGAUGACGCACGACCAUCCCCUCACGGCAGCCUGGGUGUACUUCAUGUUGUCACGUGGAGAAUGGACUAUCUCGCACGGGGCUGACCUCAGGGAUUAUUCUGCCCUGUGGUUGAGAGGUCAGCUGGAGCUCGGGUUGGUGUACCUUGGAACCUCCUACAGUGGGAUGUGUGAAUCCACGUGGACCUUUCAGCGACCUUCACUGCUGUAUGAGUGACCAACAGGACCUGGAAUGGACCCAGCCACCUUUCAAAACGCCAGUGCUUUCUUCUCGUCUCCCAGACCAAGAUCCAGUCUCCCGGAACCAAGGAGUGGAGCAGAUCUGAUGCUGGCGUGGCAGGCCUUCCUUAC